UACGUAGGGUGCAAGCGUUGUCCGGAAUUAUUGGGCGUAAAGAGCUCGUAGGCGGUUUGUCGCGUCUGCUGUGAAAACUCGGGGCUCAACCCCGAGCUUGCAGUGGGUACGGGCAGACUAGAGUGCGGUAGGGGAGACUGGAAUUCCUGGUGUAGCGGUGGAAUGCGGAGAUAUCAGGAGGAACACCGGUGGCGAAGGCGGGUCUCUGGGCCGUAACUGACGCUGAGGAGCGAAAGCAUGGGGAGCGAACAGG
rnacentral:rRNA from 1 species